GACGAACGCUGGCGGCGUGCUUAACACAUGCAAGUCGAACGAUGAAGAAGAGAAACGCGAACUUCGGUUCAAAUUUCACUUCGGAUUAGUGGCAGACGGGUGAGUAACGCGUGAGCAACCUACCUCUUACAAAGGGAUAGCCUCGGGAAACCGUGAUUAAUACCAUAUGACACAUUCAUAAGGCAUCUUAAGAAUGUUAAAGCUACGGCGGUAAGAGAUGGGCUCGCGUCCCAUUAGCUGGUUGGUGAGGUAACGGCCCACCAAGGCGACGAUGGGUAACCGGCCUGAGAGGGUGAACGGUCACAUUGGAACUGAGACACGGUCCAAACUCCUACGGGAGGCAGCAGUGGGGAAUAUUGCACAAUGGAGGGAACUCUGAUGCAGCGACGCCGCGUGAGCGAUGAAGGAAUUCGUUUCGUAAAGCUCUGUUCUAUGGGAAGAAAAGGACUGUACCAUAGGAGAAAGCCCCGGCUAAAUACGUG
rnacentral:rRNA from 1 species